CCGGCGAAGAGGUAAGAUCUUAUUUAGCUGUUUAGGGGUUAUACCUCUUACAAUUAAAUAAUAUCUCAAACUCCGAGAAUAGCGGUUAUACCCACUCUCGUAGUUGCCUUUUUUCUGGUGAGAUUUACUAAAGGUUUUAUUAGUCGGAGAAGGGGUUAUACCUCUGCCACCUAAUAAAACUGUGGUAAUUGAGUAUUGGUGGGAUUCUGUGGUUAUACCCGUGCUCAGCUUACUCAAUCAUCUUCCCACUCCGGUACUCCCUCUUGUUGACGCCCGUGGUGGUGCCGCGGUCAACGGAGAGAAUCCCUGCGGCAUAAGACGUAGAGAGUAUAUACGGGAAGCCCUUCCCCGUCAUCGCCGUACCUCCGUGAGAGUGUACUACGGGAAGCCUUUCCCCGUCAUCGCCGUACCUCCGUGAGAGAGUACUACGGGAAGCCUUUCCCCGUCAUCGCCGUGCCCCCCUCUUCGUAACAGUGUACUACGUCUGUCGGUGGCUAACGUCAUAAUAAAGUGUUGUGUUAGUGUAUAAAAUAAAGUACGAUUUAUAACGUUAUAAGAAAAAGAAA